CAUGUGAAUCGGGAUAAUUAAAACUUUCAGCAGUUGUGCCCAGACCAAACACACCAUAUGUGAGCGUAUCUCAUUCUCAAUUGUGCGUUUCUUGCUAAAUAUCCUCUGUUCUGGUUCCGGGACGGCUUGGACUCCUUGUCUGAAAACCACCAAAAGACCUAGGGUGUCGCUCACGACGUAGUACAAUGGAAGUUGUGCGGGAAAAACUACCAACCACAAAUGAGAAUGAAGAUCAGAACUCGAUCGUGGAAGAUGCGCGCUUGCAUCCUGAGGUAAGGGAUGCCUGGCAGUUCCCCCCUGAUCUGCCUGAAAUCAAGCUUCCUGCCUGAUCGAUCAAGCUGUAACCUAUGCGUUGCAUGUUGAUAAGUUCAUCUUGUCAUUCGGUGAAUAACAAUCAAGAUGGGGCUUCUGUUGCAGACAACAGGAAAGAGGCUGGGCCAGAUUGUCCGAUUUGAGUUAGGAGCACCAGAGAGUCCGGGUGCAGCACCUGCAAAUUUAGAUCACAUAACCGAAGAGGACGAAAAGUCACAUAGGGGCAGUGACGCGGAAGUCAGACAGAAAGCCAGGCAGGCUCUGGAGAGCCUUUUGGAAGGCAAUGCGCGCUUCCGCAAGGUCAAUAUUUGUCUGUGCAAAGCAUGGCAGAUCAUACUUUCAAGCCUGAAGCUACGAGCAGGUU
rnacentral:lncRNA from 1 species